UACGUAGGUGACAAGCGUUGUCCGGAAUCAUUGGGCGUAAAGCGCGCGUAGGCGGCCCUGUAAGUCCGUUGUGAAAGUCAAAGGCUCAACCUUUGAAAGCCGAUGGAUACUGCAGGGCUAGAGUCCGGAAGAGGCGAGUGGAAUUCCUGGUGUAGCGGUGGAAUGCGCAGAUAUCAGGAGGAACACCAAUAGCGAAGGCAGCUCGCUGGGACGGUACUGACGCUAAGGCGCGAAAGCGUGGGGAGCGAACAGG
rnacentral:rRNA from 1 species